rnacentral:rRNA from 1 species
UACGUAGGUGGCAAGCGUUGUCCGGAUUUACUGGGCGUAAAGAGCGCGCAGGCGGUCGUGCAAGUCGCGUGUGAAAGCCCCCGGCUCAACUGGGGAGGGUCACGCGAUACUGCUCGACUCGAAGGCAGGAGAGGGAAGUGGAAUCCCGGUGUAGUGGUGAAAUGCGUAGAUAUCGGGAGGAACACCAGUGGCGAAGGCGACUUCCUCGGCCUGUU